GGAAUUGGAAUGGGCGAAGCCUGAUCCAGCCAUGCCGCGUGUGUGAAGAAGGUCUUCGGAUUGUAAAGCACUUUAAGUUGGGAGGAAGGGCUGUAGGCUAAUAUCCUGCAGUUUUGACGUUACCAACAGAAUAAGCACCGGCUAACUUCGUGCCAGCAGCCGCGGUAAUACGAAGGGUGCAAGC
rnacentral:rRNA from 1 species